CGAGGACUGGCGACGGCGAGGAGAUGGAGAAACUGACUAAAGCGCCUCGCGCGAGGUCCCUGAGGGUUCGAACCCAAGUCUGUCAGGAUCGGGAGCCCAAGUUGUCCCCAUCGUACUGGAUGUGGCUCAGCUCUGCAGGAAGCCGCGGCGUCUGCCUUCUAGUCUCACCUGUGGACACUUUGCCAAAGGAGUCGGGCCUGACGGUGGAAGAUGGGAAAUGGCCAAAAGAAUAAACCAUUUCCUCUUACUUACCGAAUGAAAAGCUUGCUUCAUCUUGGCGUUCAAGACUCUCUAAUAUGAUUCCACCUGUUGGGCUCUUUCUUCCAUUUGCCUCCGCAGAUAGUGUCUGCCUUCUGGAGAGCUGACCAAACACUAAGGGUAAGUCCUGUGCCUGAAUCCAGGCUGGCGGGAUGCAUGGGGGUCUUCACCAGGAGCAGCUGUGGAUGCCAGCAGUUUGGCAUGUCAGGUCUUAAGCUCAAUCAAUAAAAAAAGGCUGCGCUCUGAUUUGUGGA
rnacentral:lncRNA from 10 species